AACGAACGCUGGCGGCAUGCCUAACACAUGCAAGUCGAACGAGACCUUCGGGUCUAGUGGCGCACGGGUGCGUAACGCGUGGGAACCUGCCCUUAGGUUCGGAAUAACUCCCCGAAAGGGGUGCUAAUACCGGAUAAUGUCUUCGGACCAAAGAUUUAUCGCCUUUGGAUGGGCCCGCGUUGGAUUAGCUAGUUGGUAGGGUAAAAGCCUACCAAGGCGACGAUCCAUAGCUGGUCUGAGAGGAUGAUCAGCCACACUGGGACUGAGACACGGCCCAGACUCCUACGGGAGGCAGCAGUGGGGAAUAUUGGACAAUGGGCGAAAGCCUGAUGCAGCAAUGCCGCGUGAGUGAUGAAGGCCUUAGGGUUGUAAAGCUCUUUUACCCGGGAUGAUAAUGACAGUACCGGGAGAAUAAGCGCCGGCUAACUCCGUG
rnacentral:rRNA from 1 species